GGAUGUGAGGGUGAACUAGCUUCAACCUAUCACCCCAUUUUGAUUGCCUAGGUUGAUCCAGCUGAUUUGGUUGGCUAGGUGGGUGUCCCCUCCCUUCCUCCCUUCCUCCCUUCCUCCNNNNCUUCCUUCCUUCCUUCCUUCCUUCUCCAUGUGCAUCUCUUCCGAUGAUGCAUGCUUGGUGGAAGAGGACAACCAUCCCAGAUUGAGUGUACCAAUCUCCAGUCAAGAAUGUACAAUAGCUGCACUUCCCUGCUACGAACUCCAAAAGAUACAUGGGUAGAAGUCAUAAGAUUUGCAUUGCUGACUUGGAAUUAAAGUCCACACAUCUUAAAGUUGCCAAGGUUGCAAAUCAAUUA
rnacentral:snRNA from 1 species